GAUGAACGCUGGCGGCGUGCCUAAUACAUGCAAGUCGAGCGAACAGACGAGGAGCUUGCUCCUCUGACGUUAGCGGCGGACGGGUGAGUAACACGUGGAUAACCUACCUAUAAUACUGGUAUAACUUCGGGAAACCGGAUCUAAUACCGUAUAAUAUAUUGAACCGCAUUGUUCAAUAGUGAAAGACGGUUUUGCUGUCACUUCUAGAUGGAUCCGCGCCGCAUUAGCUAGUUGGUAAGGUCACGGCUUAUCAAGGCUACGAUGCGUAGCCGACGUGAGAGGGUGAUAGGCCACCCGGGAGCUGGACCAGGGACCAUAGUACUGCGGGAGGCAGCAGUAGGGUACGUGCCGCAAUAGGCGAAAACCUGACGGAGCAGGCGCGCGUGAGAUGUAAAGGUCUUCGGUUCGUGAAGCUCUGUUAUGAGGGAUGAACAAAUGUGUAAGGAGAUGUGCAGUUCUUGACGGUAACUGAUCAGAAAGCCACGGCUAACUACGUG
rnacentral:rRNA from 1 species